GGUCAAGUGAAGAAGCGCAUACGGUGGAUGCCUUGGCAGUCAGAGGCGAUGAAAGACGUGGUAGCCUGCGAUAAGCUUCGGGGAGUCGGCAAACAGACUUUGAUCCGGAGAUCUCUGAAUGGGGGAACCCACUCAGCAUAAGCUGAGUAUCUUGUACUGAAUACAUAGGUGCAAGAGGCGAACCAGGGGAACUGAAACAUCUAAGUACCCUGAGGAAAAGAAAUCAACCGAGAUUCCCUUAGUAGUGGCGAGCGAACGGGGACUAGCCCUUAAGUGGCUUUGAGAUUAGCGGAACGCUCUGGAAAGUGCGGCCAUAGUGGGUGAUAGCCCUGUACGCGAAAAUCUCUUAGUCAUGAAAUCGAGUAGGACGGAGCACGAGAAACUUUGUCUGAAUAUGGGGGGACCAUCCUCCAAGGCUAAAUACUACUGACUGACCGAUAGUGAACCAGUACCGUGAGGGAAAGGCGAAAAGAACCCCGGAGAGGGGAGUGAAAUAGAUCCUGAAACCGUAUGCGUACAAGCAGUGGGAGCCUACUUUGUUAGGUGACUGCGUACCUUUUGUAUAAUGGGUCAGCGACUUAUAUUCAGUGGCGAGCUUAACCGAAUAGGGGAGGCGUAGCGAAAGCGAGUCUUAAUAGGGCGUUUAGUCGCUGGGUAUAGACCCGAAACCGGGCGAUCUAUCCAUGGGCAGGUUGAAGGUUAGGUAACACUGACUGGAGGACCGAACCGACUACCGUUGAAAAGUUAGCGGAUGACCUGUGGAUCGGAGUGAAAGGCUAAUCAAGCUCGGAGAUAGCUGGUUCUCCUCGAAAGCUAUUUAGGUAGCGCCUCAUGUAUCACUGUAGGGGGUAGAGCACUGUUUCGGCUAGGGGGUCAUCCCGACUUACCAAACCGAUGCAAACUCCGAAUACCUACAAGUGCCGAGCAUGGGAGACACACGGCGGGUGCUAACGUCCGUCGUGAAAAGGGAAACAACCCAGACCGUCAGCUAAGGUCCCAAAGUUAUGGUUAAGUGGGAAACGAUGUGGGAAGGCUUAGACAGCUAGGAGGUUGGCUUAGAAGCAGCCACCCUUUAAAGAAAGCGUAAUAGCUCACUAGUCGAGUCGGCCUGCGCGGAAGAUGUAACGGGGCUCAAACCAUACACCGAAGCUACGGGUAUCACUUAGGUGAUGCGGUAGAGGAGCGUUCUGUAAGCCUGUGAAGGUGAGUUGAGAAGCUUGCUGGAGGUAUCAGAAGUGCGAAUGCUGACAUGAGUAACGACAAUGGGAGUGAAAAACUCCCACGCCGAAAGACCAAGGUUUCCUGCGCAACGUUAAUCGACGCAGGGUUAGUCGGUCCCUAAGGCGAGGCUGAAAAGCGUAGUCGAUGGAAAACAGGUUAAUAUUCCUGUACUUCUGGUUAUUGCGAUGGAGGGACGGAGAAGGCUAGGCCAGCUUGGCGUUGGUAGUCCAAGUUUAAGGUGGUAGGCUGAGAUCUUAGGUAAAUCCGGGAUCUUAAGGCCGAGAGCUGAUGACGAGUUGCCAUUAGGCGACGAAGUGGUUGAUGCCAUGCUUCCAAGAAAAGCUUCUAAGCUUCAGAUAACCAGGAACCGUACCCCAAACCGACACAGGUGGUUGGGUAGAGAAUACCAAGGCGCUUGAGAGAACUCGGGUGAAGGAACUAGGCAAAAUGGCACCGUAACUUCGGGAGAAGGUGCGCCGGUGAGGGUGAAGGACUUGCUCCGUAAGCCCAUGCCGGUCGAAGAUACCAGGCCGCUGCGACUGUUUAUUAAAAACACAGCACUCUGCAAACACGAAAGUGGACGUAUAGGGUGUGACGCCUGCCCGGUGCCGGAAGGUUAAUUGAUGGGGUUAGCUAACGCGAAGCUCUUGAUCGAAGCCCCGGUAAACGGCGGCCGUAACUAUAACGGUCCUAAGGUAGCGAAAUUCCUUGUCGGGUAAGUUCCGACCUGCACGAAUGGCGUAACGAUGGCGGCGCUGUCUCCACCCGAGACUCAGUGAAAUUGAAAUCGCUGUGAAGAUGCAGUGUAUCCGCGGCUAGACGGAAAGACCCCGUGAACCUUUACUAUAGCUUUGCACUGGACUUUGAAUUUGCUUGUGUAGGAUAGGUGGGAGGCUUUGAAGCGUGGACGCCAGUUCGCGUGGAGCCAUCCUUGAAAUACCACCCUGGCAACUUUGAGGUUCUAACUCAGGUCCGUUAUCCGGAUCGAGGACAGUGUAUGGUGGGUAGUUUGACUGGGGCGGUCUCCUCCUAAAGAGUAACGGAGGAGUACGAAGGUGCGCUCAGACCGGUCGGAAAUCGGUCGUAGAGUAUAAAGGCAAAAGCGCGCUUGACUGCGAGACAGACACGUCGAGCAGGUACGAAAGUAGGUCUUAGUGAUCCGGUGGUUCUGUAUGGAAGGGCCAUCGCUCAACGGAUAAAAGGUACUCCGGGGAUAACAGGCUGAUACCGCCCAAGAGUUCAUAUCGACGGCGGUGUUUGGCACCUCGAUGUCGGCUCAUCACAUCCUGGGGCUGAAGCCGGUCCCAAGGGUAUGGCUGUUCGCCAUUUAAAGUGGUACGCGAGCUGGGUUUAGAACGUCGUGAGACAGUUCGGUCCCUAUCUGCCGUGGACGUUUGAGAUUUGAGAGGGGCUGCUCCUAGUACGAGAGGACCGGAGUGGACGAACCUCUGGUGUUCCGGUUGUCACGCCAGUGGCAUUGCCGGGUAGCUAUGUUCGGAAGAGAUAACCGCUGAAAGCAUCUAAGCGGGAAACUUGCCUCAAGAUGAGAUCUCACUGGAGCCUUGAGCUCCCUGAAGGGCCGUCGAAGACUACGACGUUGAUAGGUUGGGUGUGUAAGCGCUGUGAGGCGUUGAGCUAACCAAUACUAAUUGCCCGUGAGGCUUGACCAU
rnacentral:rRNA from 1 species